CAGCACUAACACCAAAUCCUCAAGAUUUUACCCCAUGAUUUCAGCAGCACCCCCUGCAUCGGAGCCACACUCCCUGACUCCUGCUGCCUUCUCCAGCUGCACCUGUAGUGCCUGCACACAGAGCACCCCCGAUGACUGGCUACGUGCAGGCUUACAAACUCAGAUGGAAUAUAAAUAUCCAGAAACGACAGCCUGAAAGACAUUAGAAGUCACUACUGCCCACUCCUGCACUGAACGAAGCAUAUCUCCUAUGGAAAGGUCUGUCGGUACGCUGGCAGAAGAAAUAUGUAUCUGAGCACACUUCGGCUUAGCUACAGCUUCAAAUGGCACAAAGGGCUCAGCGCGCUGCUCCAAGGAAACCAUCAUGUUGGUUUUUUU